UGCCAGUGUGUCUCCCUGUGCCAGGAACUGGCUUCUUUUGUCCUGACAGUGGCAAAUCCACAUGCAUGACUCCAUUUUUUUGGAGUCCAGGUUCAGUUUGCAAAGAGGCCAGAGAAGAAAACUGUUCUUGGGCUAAGGCCAGUUGCUGCUUCUUGACGCCCUCUCUUAUGACGGUUGACAGUGGGUGAGUCCAGUUCCUUCAAAGGAAAGUCUUCCUCCUCCCACCUCCAGCUUCCUUGAAUUAUGGCCACAGAGGAUCAAUGGCAUGAGAGUGACAGAGACUACUUGGGAGACUGCAUUGUUUGAUCUGUCCCCCCGACAAUAAUAACACAUAACACGCUAGUCUUCGUCCUGCCUGGUCAGGGAGGAAAGCUUUGACCAUCUGCUCCCUGCAAUUGGAGUGCCCCCAGCUAUGAUCCACCAGCAAUCGCUUAUCCCUGCCACUCAGCCAUUUAUCAGUACUGUCCUGUCUAAAUCCCAAAAUACAAAAGCUGUACUCCCCCUAGAGGAACAAAACCUUCUGAGAUUCGGUGCUGGAUUGAUCCCAAAUACCAAUUUACUUCCCCUGAACGAACCUCGAGCUCUGCUUGCCCAACAAUGGGUCUCAGAAGCUUCCGAAUGAUGCCCCACCACUUGCAAGAGGGGCAGGUGGUAUGGA
rnacentral:lncRNA from 10 species